rnacentral:lncRNA from 1 species
UGGUAGGCUAGUUAUUACUGCCUCAAUUUCAGAACACAUUAUUGGUCUAUUCAGGGCUUCAGUUUCUUCCUGGUUCAGUCUUGGGAGGGUGUAUUUGUCUAGGAAAUUUUUUUUUUCUAGUUUAUGUUAAUAGAGGUGUUUAUUGUAUUCUCUGAUGGUCAUUUGUAUUUCUGUGGAGUCAGUAGUGAUAUCCCCCUUAUCAUUUCUGAUUGUGUUAUUUGAUUCUUCUCUCUCUUCUUCUUUGUUAGUCUAGCUAGUGGUCUAUUUGAUUCAUGUUUUCAAAAAACCAGCUCCUGGAUUCAUUGAUUUUUCGAAGGGUUUUCCAUGUCUCUAUUUCCUUCAGCUUGACUCUGAUUUUGGUUAUUUUUUGUCUUCUGCUAGCUUUGGGGUUUGUUUGCUCUUUUUUCUCUAGUUCCUUUUGUUGAGGUGUUAGGUUGUUAAGUUGAGAUCUUUCUAGCUUUUUCUUGUGGGCAUUUAGUGAUAUAGAUUUCCCUCUUUACAGUACUUUAGCUGC